rnacentral:tRNA from 1 species
GGAAGGGUACUCAAAGAGGCCGAACGAGGGCUGGGGAAUUUCCCGGUCGGGGCAGAGAUGUCCUACGUAGGUUCGAAUCCUACCCCUUCCGC